rnacentral:rRNA from 1 species
AUACAAAUGUCUUAAAUUUAUAUAAAUUAGUAUAAAAAAAAGUGAAGUGAGUAGUUAAUUAGAAUAGUUGAGAAUAACAAUUGUAGGUAAAAUUUUUUUAAAUUGUUAUUAUUAACUGAGUUGUUCUAUAAUUAAAACUUUGAAAAUAAGGUUGCUUGAAACUAGGAUUAGAUACCCUAUUAUUCUUUAUUUUAAAUUUUUUUUACUUAAGUAGUGUAAAUAGUAGUAAUAUAAUGUAUUUGAAACUUAAAAAGCUUGGCGGUGUUAUAUAUCCAUUUAGGGGAGCUUGUUUAUUAAUUUGAUAAUCCUCAAUUAACUCUUACUUUUUCUUGAAUAUGCUUAUAUACAGUUUGUGUAUUGCUGUCAUCAGUUUAUUUCGUAAGAUUGUUAAAGGACUUGAAAGUAAAAAUUACUAAA